rnacentral:rRNA from 1 species
CCUACGGGUGGCAGCAGUCGAGAAUCAUUCACAAUGGGGGAAACCCUGAUGGUGCGACGCCGCGUGGGGGAAUGAAGGUCUUCGGAUUGUAAACCCCUGUCAUGUGGGAGCAAAUUAAAAAGAUAGUACCACAAGAGGAAGAGACGGCUAACUCUGUGCCAGCAGCCGCGGUAAUACAGAGGUCUCAAGCGGUGUUCGGAAUCACUGGGCGUAAAGCGUGCGUAGGCUGUUUCGUAAGUCGUGUGUGAAAGGCGCGGGCUCAACCCGCGGACGGCACAUGAUACUGCGAGACUAGAGUAAGGGAGGGGGAACCGGAAUUCUCGGUGUAGCAGUGAAAUGCGUAGAUAGCGAGAGGAACACUCGUGGCGAAGGCGGGUUCCUGGACAUUAACUGACGCUGAGGCACGAAGGCCAGGGGAGCGAAAGGGAUUAGAUACCCUGGUAGUC